rnacentral:lncRNA from 1 species
AGAAAAUGGUUUUCUUCAUUGCUCAUUUACUUUCAUGAUUUAUCAGAAAGUUUGAACUUUUCUUGAGGCCAUUUUGGGUUCAUUGAUUUUAACUAGUUUGAGAUUUCCUUUAUUUAAAGAAGUGGCUAGGGUUUUUGAGCUUUCCUUCAUCACUUUCUUUGUUCUUGUUGAAAUUUUCUUAGAUGCAAUGCAAAGAAGACAUGAGCACAAGACUAACUUGCUUAAGGUGUCAGGGAUGUGACA